AACGUGAUCCUCACAAGGAUGGGAGUUUGUCUGGCUCACCGCUGUGUCCCAUGUCUGGGGCACCACCUGGCACAGGGGAUGUGCCCAAGAGAUACUGGAUGAAUCCGCUGAUGCUUCUGGGAAAUGGGUGAAUCCAAUAAUGGCUGCAGAGAAACAGAAUUCAAGAGACAGAACUUGGGACCGGAAAUGCAUCUCGAUGUCUGUUGGGAAAGCCGGGACACAGCAGGCGGGAGCAGCAUUGCCUGAUGACGCCUUCCUGCCCACCGCACCCUCCUGUAGGGCCUUUGUCCACACCGGCCCUGCUCAUCUGCCAGCCACGGAUGCCCUCACGUGCGGGGCACACCGGCCCCCAUGCAAAUCUAGCCAGGCUGAUCCCUGCCCCGGCAGCUGAAAGUCUCCUAAUAAACAAGUGUUGGUUUGCCGA